rnacentral:lncRNA from 1 species
CCACCCCUCAGUGUCUACUCACUGGUAACGAGACUCCUUCCACUGAGCAUCGCUGUCAGGUGACCAAACCUAGGCAGAGGGAUGUCAUCAGGACACAGCUGUGUCAGGAGUCCAUCCGUGCAGAGGCACGGAGCAGCAAAGACACAAGGAAGAAGCCUUCCCCGUCAGCAGGAAGAGACGGGUCAUCCUUCCACGAGCCUGUUGACCUGCGGAAGUCAUCAUUCUGUGGUCACGUCUCUGUGACCUCUGCUCAUCCACUUCCCGAUCCUGCAGGUUUCAGCAGCUACCAAGAGCUGCUGGAGGCCUCUAUCAGAGCAUGUCAUGGGGCGGCCACGCCCACAGACCCCGCAGCAGAGGACGUCAGGCAAGCUGAGCUUGCUCUCCUCCGUACAGUUCAGAGAGACUGCUUCCCGGAGGAAUUCAUUCUUCUUUCCACAGGGAAACCUGUCUCUGCAUCCAGCAGACUGCUCACCUUGGCUCCUGAGUUCGACUCAGGGGUCCAACUGAUCCGUCUGGGGGGGCGGCUCCGCAGGUGCGAGUCCCUGGAGGAAGACACCUUGCACCCCAUAGUGCUGGAUCCUCAUCACCCCAUCACCAAGCUCAUCAUCCAGGAUGGUGACAGCCGGCUCAAGCAUCCAGGCCCGGACAGGGUGUUUGCUGAGCUACGGCGACGGUUCUGGAUCUUGAGGGGGAGACAGGCCAUCAGGAAGCACCAGCACGGCUGUGCUGAGUGCCGAAGACGGCACAGCAACCCAGUCAUCCCCAGUAUGGCUGACCUUCACCCAUCCAGCUUGCGGCUUUCCAAGCCCGCAUUGCAUUCUGUUUCCACAGGUGUGGCUGUUUCCUCAUCAGCAGACGGACGGCGCAGAUCCAGGUCGAGGACCGGACCUACACGCGGCCCGCUGCAAUCCGUCUCCCAUCAUUCCUGCAGGAUGCAACUGGCUCAUUGCAGGAAAACACCUUUGCUACGCAAAGUUGAGGGCGGCUGUUAAAAAGGCUGCUUCACCAGCUGCAUCCAGCUGUGCACCCCUACUGUGCCGGCCACUCACGGGACCUGGGGUCCAUGAAAGGUCAGCCUAUCAGUUGAUCCCAGAGUUCCGUGGGGCUCGUGCACAGUGGAAUUUCACUGACCAUUUGGCC